ACCCAGGUAGCUCAAUUGGUAGAGCAACGCAGCGAUGCGAAGGUUAAUGGUUCAAGCCCAUUCCUGGGAG
rnacentral:tRNA from 1 species